UGUCUGAAUACCUAGUGCAGUAGACCCAGGCCGGCCACACCAGCGGCUGUUGCGAGUCGGGCUUUAUAACAGGUCCUCCAUUAUUAGAGCCCAUGAGGAGGAUGGCGGGGCUGCCGUGCUCCCCGUACUUCGCCGGGACGAUGUCCCCACCGGCUCCCAGCUGCGGCGCUUGGGUCUGUCGUCCCCCCGUCCCCCCCCUGGCGUAGAUAGAGAAGAUGAAAUCCAGGAGGGUGAAAGCAGCCGAGGGGCGGCGGGGCCGGGGACCCGGGCCCUGGUGCCAGCCGCCGGGUUGCGGGGAGGAAGCCCGCACUGCUCCCGUCUCUGCGGCGACCUCAGCCUCUUCGGAAACUGGCCGGAAUGAUUUCUCCGAUUUCGUUGCAUUUACUUUCUUUUCUUCUUGUUAUUCUUUUCUUUUUAUUCUGUUUGAGAGAGGCCACCAAAGGGAGGAGAUUUUAAAAUUUAAAUUAAAAAUAAAAUUAAAAGAGUAUCAGAA